CACACUAUCUACAGGUACACACACUAUCUACAGGUAUACACACUAUCUACAGGAACACACACUAUCUACAGGAACACACACUAUCUACAGGAACACACACUAUCUACAGGUACACACACUAUCUACAGGUACACACACUAUCUACAGGUACACACACUAUCUACAGGUACACACACUAUCUACAGGUACACACACUAUCUACAGGUACACACACUAUCUACAGGUACACACACUAUCUACAGGUACACACACUAUCUACAGGAACACACACUAUCUACAGGAACACACACUAUCUACAGGUACACACACUAUCUACAGGUACACACACUAUCUACAGGAACACACACUAUCUACAGGAACACACACUAUCUACAGGUACACACACUAUCUACAGGAACACACACUAUCUACAGGUACACACACUAUCUACAGGUACACACACUAUCUACAGGUACACACACUAUCUACAGGUACACACACUAUCUACAGGUACACACACUAUCUACAGGAACACACACUAUCUACAGGUACACACACUAUCUACAGGUAUACACACUAUCUACAGGUAUACACACUAUCUACAGGUACACACACUAUCUACAGGAACACACACUAUCUACAGGUACACACACUAUCUACAGGUACACACACUAUCUACAGGUACACACACUAUCUACAGGUACACACACUAUCUACA